CCGAGCUAGCCGAUGCCUACUGUAUCCAGUGUUUUGUUGCAUCCGGUGCGACCUCAAAGAAUACCUUCUUCUAGCUGGGCGUUGAGCGCCUCAGGGACGACGAGGUGCAGCGCCUGGGGUGGAAGCAGUUCAACUACACGAUGAAGAAGUGAGUGAAGGGGUUAAGACGGUUGCGUUGUGCGUGCGCUGCUUGCUUGCUGCAUGCCAGCACUACAUGAAUGAUCCCACUGCUGCAGGCUUCAGCCAAUACUGGCCGGCUAUGUUUACAAACCGAAAUGAAUUGUUCAGAGAAGAGGAGCAGACGUGCUGCAAAAUUUACCUCAAGGUGGUGAAUCAGCAAAUCGAGGGACUUAUUUUUUGGUGGGGCCAGCAGGGUAUCCCAUUACCUUAAUUUCCUCUUCAGUGUGCUGACUCCGAUCUCCAGAGUCAUGGUUGCUUCUUUCUUAGUCUGUUUAAAUCGGUUAUUUCUUUCAAUAUGCACUCUCACAAUCAUAUACUUUUUCUGUUCUUGAUGGUGAUUUUUUGAUGGUACAGGGAAUGAAUGAAACAAUGUCUUCUCAUCAAGGAAAAGACUUGUGUUCUCCUUAUAGAAGAUAAUUUAUUAUGUGAGGCAUUUGCCAUUACAACAUCUUGUCCAGGGCCAUGCUUGGCAUCGCCUUGUCCUGGUCUUCGGCGCUCCUACAGGAACUGAGCGCCAGUGUGGUCGAGCCAAGUACAACACCAACAAGCGACAACAGCGCACCACUCUGAUCCAUGCGGGAAACAUGCAGUGUACAGAGAAAUCAGCGCUUUCACAGGCUGAUAGGAGAAAUUUUUGGGUGGGGCCUGCAUGUUUCGAGAGAAUUGUCGUGUCAUAGUGCUAACUAGGAAAAUGUUGAGGAGGUCCUGUUGCGUCCCAUGUUCAAUAUAAGGGGGUGUUAAAAGGGACUCGAAGCAUUUUCAUGUGUCGAUAGCACGAGAGAUCCUCCCGAUACUCUCCUCAAGGUUGACCCAACUAGAUCCUGAUGCGCCAGCGGCACGGGUGGUCAGGCCUGAGCAGCGAGCUCUUCUGCCCCCUCCUCAUUGGGUCG